rnacentral:rRNA from 1 species
AACGAACGCUGGCGGCGUGCUUAACACAUGCAAGUCGAACGCGAAAGUUUUCUUCGGAAAGCGAGUAGAGUGGCGCACGGGUGAGUAACGCGUAAGUUAUCUACCUCGGCAUCUGGAAUAACUCACCGAAAGGUGUGCUAAUACCGGAUACGUUGAGUAAUCAAGAAAGGUGGCCUCUGCAUAUGCUACCGUGCUGGGAUGAGCUUGCGUACCAUUAGCUAGUUGGUAGGGUAAUGGCCUACCAAGGCGACGAUGGUUAGCGGGUCUGAGAGGAUGAUCCGCCACACUGGAACUGGAACACGGACCAGACGCCUACGGGAGGCAGCAGUGAGGAAUAUUGCGCAAUGGGGGCAACCCUGACGCAGCGACGCCGCGUGGAUGAUGAAGGCCUUCGGGUCGUAAAAUCCUGUCAGGUGGAAAGAAAUGUCUAUGUGCUAAUAUCAUGUAGACUUGACGGUACCACCGAAGGAAGCACCGGCUAACUCCGUGCCAGCCGCCGCCGUAACAC